rnacentral:rRNA from 1 species
GAUGAACGCUAGCUACAGGCUUAACACAUGCAAGUCGAGGGACCGGCGCACGGGUGAGUAACACGUAUCCAACCUGCCCUUUACUCGGGGAUAGCCUUUCGAAAGAAAGAUUAAUACCCGAUUUAAAGGAUGGGGAUGCGUUCCAUUAGGUUGUUGGUGAGGUAACGACUCACCAAUCCUUCGAUGGAUAGGGGUUCUGAGAGGAAGUUCCCCCACAUUUGAACUGAGACACGGUCCAAACUCCUACUGGAGGCAGCAGUGAGGUAUAUUGGUCGAUGGGCGUUAGCCUGAACCAGCCAAGUAGCGUGAAGGAUGAAGGCUUAUUGGUCGUAAACUUCUUUUCUAUAAGAAUAUGUAUUAUAUGAAUAAGGCUCGGCUAACUCCGUGCCAGCCGCCGCGGUAAUUC